GACGAACGCUGGCGGCGUGCUUAACACAUGCAAGUCGAACGGAAAGGCCCUGCUUGCAGGGUACUCGAGUGGCGAACGGGUGAGUAACACGUGGGUGAUCUGCCCUGCACUUCGGGAUAAGCCUGGGAAACUGGGUCUAAUACCGGAUAGGAGCCAUUUUUAGUGUGAUGGUUGGAAAGUUUUUUCGGUGUAGGAUGAGCUCGCGGCCUAUCAGCUUGUUGGUGGGGUAAUGGCCUACCAAGGCGGCGACGGGUAGCCGGCCUGAGAGGGUGGACGGCCACAUUGGGACUGAGAUACGGCCCAGACUCCUACGGGAGGCAGCAGUGGGGAAUAUUGCACAAUGGGCGCAAGCCUGAUGCAGCGACGCCGCGUGGGGGAUGACGGCCUUCGGGUUGUAAACUCCUUUCGCUAGGGACGAAGCU
rnacentral:rRNA from 1 species